rnacentral:rRNA from 1 species
AGGGAAUUGCCCUAGUAACGGCGAGUGAAGCGGCAACAGCUCAAAUUUGAAAGCUGGCCUUCGGGUCCGCAUUGUAAUUUGUAGAGGAUGCUUUGGGUGAAACGCCAGUCUAAGUUCCUUGGAACAGGACGUCAUAGAGGGUGAGAAUCCCGUAUGUGACUGGAAAUGUUAACCUAUGUAAAGCUCCUUCGACGAGUCGAGUUGUUUGGGAAUGCAGCUCUAAAUGGGAGGUAAAUUUCUUCUAAAGCUAAAUAUUGGCGAGAGACCGAUAGCGCACAAGUAGAGUGAUCGAAAGAUGAAAAGCACUUUGGAAAGAGAGUUAAAAAGCACGUGAAAUUGUUGAAAGGGAAGCGCUUGCAAUCAGGACUUGUUUAAACUGUUCGGCCGGUCUUCUGACCGGUUUACUCAGUUUGGACAGGCCAGCAUCAGUUUCGGCGGCCGGAUAAAGGCUCUGGGAAUGUGGCCUUCACUUCGGUGAAGGUGUUAUAGCCCAGGGUGUAAUACGGCCAGCCGGGACUGAGGUCCGCGCUUCGGCUAGGAUGCUGGCGUACA